GUGCUCGCUUCAGCAGCACAGAUACUAAAAAAUUGGAAUGAUACAGAGAAUAUUAGUAUGGUCCCUGCACAAGGAUGACACGCAAAUUCGUGAAGCGUACAAUAAAGAA
rnacentral:snRNA from 1 species